UGAGCGGAAGGUGUCAGGGACAAGCCCCGAGGUGGAAACCGCGGGAAUCUCUUUUCUACAGGAUCCCCAGGAAACUCCAGGGAGGCCUGGGAGGUGCUCGUAGGGAUCACAGCCUGCUGAGUUGCUCACAUCUUCCGGCAAAGUGGCAUAGGAAUCUAGUUCCUGCUGCUGAGGAGACCGUUUUGUAACAGAGAAUGGCCUGAAAAAGGAUCUGGGAUCUUUGAAGACGCAUCCUAAGGAAGCCAGUGAGAACUUUGGUGUCUUUGGACAGUGGAGACAAUGGAUAGAUCACAUUGCCUUCUCUGACUUCAAACCUCUUGCCUACACGGAGUGUGUGUGAUUACAUUGGCUCUACCUGGAUAAUCUGGAAUACUCUGCCUAUCUAAAGAUCCUUAACUUGAUCAUACCUGCAAAGUCCCGCUUGUCACCUAAGAUUGGAGAGUAACUGGGAAAGAAGAGGAAGUCAAGAAAUACACCCAAAGUCAUGCAGAAAUGGAAAACGACAAGCUCAAACUCCUGGCCUUACAUGAUCCUCCUGCCUUGGCCUCCCAAAGUGCUGGGAUUAUAGGCAAGAGCCACAACACUUGAAAUAAUGGAAGACAAAGGAGUUGAGAUUCUGAAGUUUCCAGGGAAGACCUCUUGGUGCCAAGAUUCACAACCUACCCCCAAUACAGGUAGCCCCUUGUGAGAUAACACCACAACUGGCCCCAAGACCCAUGGCCCAUGAUAUCCCUUAGUCAGAGGCACAGAUUUGAGGCAACUUCUCCAGAUUUGAGGCAACUCUCUCCAGUUCCUCCUGUUCUCCCAGCAAGACAUUAUUGUAUUACAAAUUCCUUUCUUCUUUGGCAAUCCUUGUUGUGUCAAUCGUUGGAUCUUUGUGCGAUGAGCAACUAGAGCUCUACUGAAACCCCCUUGUGGUUUUGCUAACAGCCUUACAUAUUUUAGUUCUUAUUAUGCUGGGUUUUCUGGUAUAUGAGACCAAAAUUAAUAUUGAUAAUUCCAGCAAUUCCAGAAGUUUAUUCUAACAUGUUUUCAUUACACAUAUUUUUUAUAGCAAUGGGUUGAGAACCACCUAAAAUAUCCAUCCAAAGAAGAGUGGUUAAAUAAAUUAUAGUACCUGCAUAUACUGCCGUACAGGAUAUGCAGUGUUACUUGACA